CCACAAUCUAAUGGGGGAAGGCAACGUAGAACACGGAACAGGAGACUGGCAAGAGCGGGGAAGGGGGCGGGGCGUGUGACAUCAUCUGGGGUUCCCAGGGGGGGCAUCCUGUUCCGUGGAGAUGAAAGCCAGGGAGGCCGCGGAGGCAGAGUGGAGAGUGUUGGAAAUGCCGAUUCUGCCCUCGAUAAAGGAAGGCUUUUCGAGGAGUUUGGGGUUCUGCCCCCCGGCCCUCCAGUCACGGGGAGAGGGGGCUGAGGAAGACGAAGUCGAGACUGAAUUUCCAAGCUGAGGGUUCGAGGGAGCUGGGAGACUGGAGUGAGUUCUCUCCUGGUCCCUCCUGACCCCCCCCGCCAGACAGAAGCCAGGUAAGAGGCUCUGUGUCCCACAUUCCAGCAGGCCAUCUGUGUCCCCCUGGGCUCUACCCCCACAUUCCAGGCAGCAUCCCAGUGUCCAAGCACCAUCCAGAGGCGGGGUGAUCGCUGGCUGGGAAGGCUGGGGAAGGCUCCUCCAGGGGAGGGGGAGGGGGACUCAGUGGUCUCUGAAAUCCCUUCUCACCUCAAAGACCAGAAUUCAGAGAGUCUCUAGUCUGUGAGGCUGAGAUGCCAUACUUGGACUCCAAGAGUCUGUGGCCUUAUCACCUUCUAGACUUCUUGAGGUGCAGAAACCACAUCCCAUUGGAACAGAGCCUAGCACAAUGCCCACAACAGGUGCUUCAUAAAUGUUUGUGGUUUUUGCUGUCUUAUGACUCUGACAUUCUGUGAUCUAAGAUCCUGUGGCUCUAAGGUUCUAGUAUGUGGUACUGACCAUAAGGGUUAGAACACCUGUGGGGAUCCUAUGGACUUUGGGACCUCAGAACACUGGAUAUCUGAGCUGGGAAGGGAGGGCCUUAGAACAGGAAAUGUCAGAGCUGGGAGGGGCCUUAGAACAGGGGAUGUCAGAGCUGGGAGGGGCCUUAGAAGAUAGGCACUUUGAGGGCUGGACCUGGCCCACAGGAAUGUGAACCCAGGAAUCCUGGUGCCUUGUGGUCUGUGAGGCUGCCAGUAACAGCCAAGAACAGGCAUUCCAGCACAGUCAUUUAACAUUCACUAAGCCUCUGCUAAGUUCUAGGCACUGUGCUAAGCACACAGAAAAACAAAGCCAAUCCCUGCCCUCAUGAAGCUUACAAUGUAAUGGGAGAAGACAGUAAGUUGGGGGUGAUGGAGAGUUCUACAGUGUAGCUGGUGGAGACAGGAGAAAGACGCUGAGCUGCUUUUUAGACACAGGCCCCGUUCUCCUGCCAUGGGGUCUUC
rnacentral:lncRNA from 1 species